CGGACGGGUGAGUAACGCGUGGGUAACCUGCCAUAUACAGGGGGAUAACAGCGAGAAAUUGCUGCUAAAACCACAUAAGCGCACGGAGUCGCAUGACUCAGUGUGAAAAACUCCGGUGGUAUAUGAUGGACCCGCGUCUGAUUAGCCAGUUGGCAGGGUAACGGCCUACCAAAGCGACGAUCAGUAGCCGGCCUGAGAGGGUGGACGGCCACAUUGGGACUGAGACACGGCCCAAACUCCUACGGAAGGCAGCAG
rnacentral:rRNA from 1 species